AACGUUCUGUUUUAGACUCCUUUUUUUUGUAUUGGAUUGUCUUGUGUUUCACUGUGUAGACUUGCAGUUCCCUGUGGCUGCUGAGACACCAGAACAGCCCAUGACAUCCAACACAGCUUCAGUUGGAUCAGUUUUAGUAGAAUUCUGCGUAUCCCCAGAUAAAAAAAACUAUAUGUCUGUUUUAAACUGUCCCAGUUAGUCUUAGCAAACUAACACUGUGCAUAGCGUUGAAGCAGUAGUGGUCUCAUGGCCUUUCAUUGAGUUUUUAAUUAAACAUAUUUUCCUCAGUUAAGCAAGUUGUUGCCAGUGAGUUUGAGUAGAUUGGCAUUAUUUUUAGCAGUGUAUCAUUUUAAUUGCUAUUCAGCGCCAUGGUUUGCACCACAAAGUAGCAUCCUGGGCCACAGAACUGAACUUCAUCUCACACUUAAGUUUAAAAAAAUGUAACUCUUAUUUGUGUGUGGUUUAAAAAUCUCUUGUUUCAAACUUGUUGAAAUGUAGGGCAAGUUUUGGUUCUAAGUUUUCAGGUGCUGAUAUUUUAAUGUGUGGCUUUGUGAGUGCUGAGAAGUAAAAGGGGUGUGUAGGAGCUGCCCAGAAAAUGUCUGCUUACAAAAGUGAAAUCCUCAAGUUUACGUGUGAGGUGACUUCUGACUUGUGCCUUGCUGUAGUUUGAGUGUUAUGAAAAGGCCUUAAAAAUACUCAGUGGGUCAGUUCGAAUAUAUUUUACUGAUGCUGCCCAGUCAGAUGUGUGGCUACCUCAAAAAACAUUUUUUUUUAUCUUGGUGUGCUCUAUUGUACAAUAACAUUAUGGCUUUAUUGUGAGUUUCUCUGUUUAGGGAGAAUCCACUGAAAGGUGUCUGCUUCUGACAUUAACAAAGCACUUGUUACAAUAAAUAAUAUUGGCUUUUAAAAUGAAAGGCUUUGAAAUAAAGAGAAUUAAAGGAUUAUAAGUAACA